rnacentral:rRNA from 1 species
UUGCCUCAGUAACGGCGAGUGAAGCGGCAACAGCUCAAAUUUGAAAUCUGGCUUCGGUCCGAGUUGUAAUUUGUAGAGGAUGCUUCGGCUUACGUACCGGUCUAAGUUCCUUGGAACAGGACGUCACAGAGGGUGAGAAUCCCGUUUGUGGCCGGCACUUCCGCCAUGUGAAGCUCCUUCGACGAGUCGAGUUGUUUGGGAAUGCAGCUCUAAAUGGGAGGUAAAUUUCUUCUAAAGCUAAAUACCGGCCAGAGACCGAUAGCGCACAAGUAGAGUGAUCGAAAGAUGAAAAGCACUUUGGAAAGAGAGUUAAAAAGUACGUGAAAUUGUUGAAAGGGAAGCGCUUGCGACCAGACUUGCCCGCGGAUGCUCAACCGGUCCUUCGGCCGGUGCACUCUUCCGCGGUCAGGCCAGCAUCAGUUCGGGCGGUCGGAUAAAGGCCUUGGGAAUGUGGCUCUCUUCGGGGAGUGUUAUAGCCCUUGGUGCAAUACGGCCCGCCUGGACUGAGGCCCGCGCUUCGGCUAGGAUGCUGGCGUAAUGGUCGUAAGCGGCCCGUCUUGAAACACGGACCAAGGAGUCUAACAUCUAUGCGAGUGUUUGGGUGUCAAACCCGUGCGCGAAAUGAAAGUGAACGGAGGUGGGAACCUUAGGGUGCACCAUCGACCGAUCCUGAUGUCUUCGGAUGGAUUUGAGUAAGAGCAUAGCUGUUGGGACCCGAAAGAUGGUGAACUAUGCCUGAAUAGGGUGAAGCCAGAGGAAACUCUGGUGGAGGCUCGCAGCGGUUCUGACGUGCAAAUCGAUCGUCAAAUUUGGGUAUAGGGGCGAAAGACUAAUCGAACC